GACUUGAUUGUAACCAAUCGUGUAUGUCGAAAGGUCGACCAUCGUCAACAUCCUGAAGAGAGAUGGCACAGUCCCGAAUUGUACCUUGGAUGUUUUAAGCGGCAAAUCAGGCACUAAAUGGGGAGAUAACUACCUUAAACAUGACAUGAUUUUCCUACCUUCAAAUAUUCCCAAGAACCACUGGUUCCUGGCUGUUGUCAACUCCCAAAAGAGGGAGAUUCAAAUUCUGGACUCACUCCAAUCACGCAACAACCGGAAAGAAGUAAUUGCUGCGCUUCUUGGAAUGGAAACACAUAUUGAUAUAGCAGUGAUGGAAAAUGGAAUGCAAGGAAGUAGAUGGCCGG